AGAUGCGAUCAUACCAGCACUAAAGCACCGGAUCCCAUCAGAACUCCGAAGUUAAGUGUGCUUGGGCGAGAGUAGUACUAGGAUGGGUGACCUCCUGGGAAGUCCUGGUGUUGCAUUCC
rnacentral:rRNA from 1 species